rnacentral:rRNA from 1 species
UGGGGGAUAUUGCACAAUGGGCGAAAGCCUGAUGCAGCGACGCCGCGUGGGGGAUGAAGGCUUUCGGGUUGUAAACCUCUUUCGCUAUCGAACAAGGCCCGCUUAGGGUGGGUUGAGGGUAGGUGGAGAAGAAGCGCCGGCUAACUACGUGCCAGCAGCCGCGGUCAUACGUAGGGCGCGAGCGUUGUCCGGAAUUAUUGGGCGUAAAGGGCUUGUAGGCGGCUUGUUGCGCCUGCUGUGAAAACGCGGGGCUUAACUUGGGGAGUGCAGUGGGUACGGGCAGGCUUGAGUGUGGUAAGGGUGACUGGAAUUCCAGGUGUAGCGGUGGAAUGCGCAGAUAUCUGGAGGAACACCGAUGGCGAAGGCAGGUCACUGGGACAGUACUGACGCUGAGGAGCGAAAGCAUGGGUAGCGAACAGG